ACAGCACACAACACAAUACUAGUAAAGGUGGGGCUUUUCAUUUUCAAACCGUAUACAUUACCUUGGAAUUCGGAAAAAGAAAGAACCUCUCUCUCUCACACCCACACUUCUCUGUAAUAUAAUGUCUCAUCUGCCUGCACUCUCUUCUUAUCUCUGCUGUUUGUCUUCAGAUAAUAAAAACUCACUUUCCCAAUCCCAUGGCAUUUUUCAUACCCAUUUCCUCAACACGUGCUUUCUGGUCCAAAGGUUUGGAGAAAUUUGUGGUGGAUGGCACAAGGAAUCGAUCAUCUUGCUUAACACAUGAAAGAUUUUUUGUCGCUUGAAGGUAUUGGAGUUAUGGAUUGAUAUGCCUGAAGUUUGGAAUAGGGAAUGAAGCCAUUGGUCCUAGUAGUUUAAUUUAUAUGUAAUAUAUUAUUGAAUUAUUUGUACAUUGUUUGAUGUAGUCUGGAUCAAUCAUUUGUUGUACAUCAAUUUGCUAUAUAUAGUGGCCGCUUGAACUUUCCUACUUUAAAUGCUUAUAGUUUUUUUUCUUUUAA